GACGAACGCUGGCGGCGUGCUUAACACAUGCCAGUCGAACGAUGAACCCGGAGCUUGCUCUGGGGGAUUAGUGGCGAACGGGUGAGUAACACGUGAGUAACCUGCCCUGGACUCUGGGAUAAGCGUUGGAAACGACGUCUAAUACCGGAUAGGACCUUGGAUCGCAUGAUCUGGGGUGGAAAGUUUUUUCGGUCUGGGAUGGACUCGCGGCCUAUCAGCUUGUUGGUGAGGUAAUGGCUCACCAAGGCGUCGACGGGUAGCCGGCCUGAGAGGGUGACCGGCCACACUGGGACUGAGACACGGCGCAGACUCCUACGGGAGGCAGCAGUGGGGAAUAUUGCACAAUGGGCGAAAGCCUGAUGCAGCAACGCCGCGUGCGGGAUGACGGCCUUCGGGUUGUAAACCGCUUUUAGUAGGGAAGAAGGGCUUCGGCUUGACGGUACCUGCAGAAAAAGGACCGGCUAACUACGUG
rnacentral:rRNA from 1 species